CGCCUCUCCACUGUUGAAGACUCGCAUGUUCCUCAUUCAGUGGUCUUAGGAGUUGGUAUCAAACACUUGUUUGCAAUCUCUCUUCGAUUUUUAUUUUUUUGCACAUCGGUUUGAGUGAGUGGAAAGUGGCGCAAUCAAUAUUACUUAGUUUGAUUUUGUGAAGCUAGUUUGUGAAGUAGAGAAAUUUGAAUCGAACGUAAUCGACAACUUUUUCCGAUCUAGUGUGAUUAAUAAGGCAGUAUACAUAUACUUUUUGAAGGGAACUCUAAGUAGGACAGUUAUCAUGACGUUGAUAGUGAAAGGUAAACUGGAUGGGAACGAAUGUAAAGUGUUCGGAGCGAAUGAGCAGCAAAGGAUGAUGCUGUCAACCGCCUUUCCUGGUACAGAGAAGAAGCGAACAAACCUCUUGGGAAGUACUUCUCAUUUGGCUGUGGGUCUACCAGCACCACAUGUUAUCAACAGAUUGGCCACUUUUGGUUACAAAUCCUCCGCUUGCACUACCUCCAGUGGCGAAGCAUCCAAUCGGUCACUCAUCUGGACCUUAAAUUAUUCAACCUGACAGAAACAUCCCUCUUCAAUUUUUUGUAAGACUCAUACGGGCAAAUUACAAUUCGGUUCUCCUUCGUUCGUCAUAGCGUCACAUCAAUGCCACUACCGAUUCAUCCGAUUGCCAUCAUCAACCGAUUCUUACUGGCGCACGGUGGAUCGAGUCAUAGGGCAGGCCGGACAUGGCACAUCACGCGACUUGGUUUGCUCAUUUACGUAGUGUUUGCGCUCAUAAAACAAAUCAGGAUAUAUGUUUCUUAUGUAUUUUUCGUCGCAGAUUUCAUUUUUGAUGACUAUUUUCCUGAUUAUUGGGUUUAGAUAUGUAUUUU